rnacentral:tmRNA from 1 species
GGGGCUGAAUUUAAGCUCGACGUUGGAACUUUAUCAGUUAGAUCAGCAGGUCGCUUGUCAGCGUAUAGACAAACUUAGACAAUUGCAAAAGCAUUUGACCGCGUAGCUGCUAUCAAGGACUUGGCUUCACGCCUUGCUCCUCAGCAGUUCGCAACAGCUGUAGCUUAAUUAUCUUCAGCCACGUCAUACGUAACAUCAGAUAGCGUAUAAACGUGCCAUAUUUUUCUGGUUGCGUUCGACACUUGAUCUUAUGUCGGACUAAGACUAUCGGAUCAAUACUUUUGUAGUUUUUGGUUAUUUAUAUCUACAAAAGUUAGCCAAAUAACCUAAGCCUGUAGGAUAGACUAAUUAGAUAAGCUAGCGGACGCGGGGGCAGUACCCGCCAGCUCCACCA